rnacentral:sRNA from 1 species
UACAUAAGGGAUGGUGCAGUAUUCUAGUCAGCCCUCCGUUCCUGAAGGCGGGCCUAAAAAUCCGCCAAAGGGCAUAUCGAUGAAGUUCCUUGUGUUGGCUUGAGGCGCCCAGCCUUGGGUCGAUGCUGGGAGUUAAGGUAGUGGGGCGAUCCACAAAGGCAUGUGGGCGUUGACCCCGCUUCCGCGGAGGCCCAUAUCUGUGGUGGUUUCUUAGCCGGAAACCACGAUGGAAUGGGGUAUGAACCUGCUUCAUAUGGAGGAAUUCUGUAUGAGCAGCGUAGCCUGCCUUGAGUGGACUUGAGGGGAUUAUGGAAUUAAAGAUGCAUUAAAAUGGAUGGCCACCAUUUUAUGCAGCCUUUUCGCCAUAUGAAAUCAAGCCUGCAAAAGAGGCUAAGGAACGGUCAAAGGCUGUUGAGGAAAUCUCCUAGACUGUUUGCCAAGACACACAAUAGGAAUUAUAGUGCGGACUAAGUGGUAAUCCAGUCCGACUUUCGGAGACGGAGUCGAUCCGGGUUUAAAGGGGAACCGCCAGAAUGGUGACAUUCGGCACCUGGAUGGGAAAACCUACUGGACCUAAGCUGCAAUUUUUACCUAUUGGGUGACCAUUCCUUUUCUUA